rnacentral:rRNA from 1 species
AUUGAACGCUGGCGGCAGGCCUAACACAUGCAAGUCGAACGAGUGGCGGACGGGUGAGUAAUGUCUGGGAAACUGCCCGAUGGAGGGGGAUAACUACUGGAAACGGUAGCUAAUACCGCAUACCAUCGGAUGUGCCCAGAUGGGAUUAGCUAGUAGGGUGGGUAACGGCUCACCUAGGCGACGAUCCCUAGCUGUUCUGAGAGGAUGACCAGCCACCCUGGAACUGAGACACGGCCCAUACUCCUAGGGGAUGCAGCAGUGGGGAAUAUUGCACAAUGGGCGAAAGCCUGAUGCAGCCAGGCCGCUUGUAUGAGGAAGGUCUUGGGGUUGUAAAGUACUUUCAGCGAGGAGGGGUUACUCGCAUAAUAAGCACCGGCUAACUCCGUGCCAGCAGCCGCGGUAAUAC